rnacentral:rRNA from 1 species
UAGUCCACGCCGUAAACGAUGAGUGCUAGCUGUUGGGACCUCAGGUCUCAGUGGCGCCGCUAACGCAUUAAGCACUCCGCCUGGGGAGUACGGUCGCAAGGUUAAAACUCAAAGGAAUUGACGGGGACCCGCACAAGCGGUGGAGCAUGUGGUUUAAUUCGAUGAUACGCGAGGAACCUUACCCGGGCUUAAAUGUAGAUUGCAUGUUUCAGAGAUGAACUUUCCUUCGGGACUAUCUACAAGGUGCUGCAUGGUUGUCGUCAGCUCGUGCCGUGAGGUGUCGGGUUAAGUCCCAUAACGAGCGCAACCCCUAUCGUUAGUUACCAUCAGGUUAUGCUGGGGACUCUAGCGAGACUGCCACCGUAAGGUGAGAGGAAGGUGGGGAUGACGUCAAAUCAGCACGGCCCUUAUGUCCGGGGCUACACACGUGCUACAAUGGCAGGUACAAUGGGUCGCCAACCCGCAAGGGGGAGCCGAAUCCCAAAAAUCCUGUCCCAGUUCGGAUUGGAGUCUGCAACUCG